ACACCAUCCAGAGCGGCUGAGAGACCUGGCUCCACGACGUCGCAGCAACCCCCCGGCAACGGGCGCGGGUGCUUCCGCCAGGAACGAUGGAGG
rnacentral:ncRNA from 2 species